CCUACGGGAGGCUGCAGUGGGGAAUAUUGCACAAUGGGGGAAACCCUGAUGCAGCGACGCCGCGUGAGUGAAGAAGUAUUUCGGUACGUAAAGCUCUAUCAGCAGGGAAGAAAAUGACGGUACCUGUCUAAGAAGCCACGGCUAACUACGUGCCAGCAGCCGCGGGAAUAUGCAGGGGGCAAGCGUUAUCCGGAUUUACUGGGUGUAAAGGGAGCGUAGACGGCAGCACAAGUCUGAGGUGAAAUCCCAUGGCUUAACCAUGGAACUGCUUUGGAAACUGUGCGGCUGGAGUGCAGGAGAGGUAAGCGGAAUUCGUGGUGUAGCGGUGAAAUGCGUAGAUAUUAGGAGGAACACCAGUGGCGAAGGCGGCUUACUGGACUGUAACUGACGUUGAGGCUCGAAAGCGUGGGGAGCAAACAGGAUUAGAUACCCGGGUAGUC
rnacentral:rRNA from 1 species